AGUGAACGCUGGCGGCGUGCCUAAUACAUGCAAGUCGAACGGAGAUUAAGUAGCUUGCUAUUUAAUCUUAGUGGCGCACGGGUGAGUAAUAUAUAGCUAACUUGCCCAUUACUAAGGGACAACAGUUGGAAAUGACUGCUAAUACCUUAUACUCCGUAUCUAUAUAAGUAGAUACGGGAAAGUUUUUCGGUAAUGGAUAGGGCUAUAUCGUAUCAGCUAGUUGGUAAGGUAAUGGCUUACCAAGGCUAUGACGCGUAACUGGUCUGAGAGGAUGAUCAGUCACACUGGAACUGAGACACGGUCCAGACUCCUACGGGAGGCAGCAGUAGGGAAUAUUGCUCAAUGGGGGAAACCCUGAAGCAGCAACGCCGCGUGGAGGAUGACACUUUUCGGAGCGUAAACUCCUUUUCUUGGGAAAGAAUUAUGACGGUACCCAAGGAAUAAGCACCGGCUAACUCCGUG
rnacentral:rRNA from 1 species